rnacentral:tRNA from 1 species
GGGUCCUUGGCGCAGUCGGUAGCGCGCAAGUCUCAUAAUCUUGAGGUCGCGAGUUCGAGCCUCGCAGGGCCCA